CGGGGCCCGCACAAGCGGUGGAGCAUGUGGUUUAAUUCGAAGCAACGCGAAGAACCUUACCAGGUCUUGACAUCCCUGACAACCCGAGAGAUCGGGCGUUCCCCUUCGGGGGACAGGGUGACAGGUGGUGCAUGGUUGUCGUCAGCUCGUGUCGUGAGAUGUUGGGUUAAGUCCCGCAACGAGCGCAACCCUCGACCUUAGUUGCCAGCAUUCAGUUGGGCACUCUAAGGUGACUGCCGGCUAAAAGUCGGAGGAAGGUGGGGAUGACGUCAAAUCAUCAUGCCCCUUAUGACCUGGGCUACACACGUGCUACAAUGGUUGGUACAACGAGUUGCGAGUCGGUGACGGCGAGCUAAUCUCUUAAAGCCAAUCUCAGUUCGGAUUGUAGGCUGCAACUCGCCUACAUGAAGUCGGAAUCGCUAGUAAUCGCGGAUCAGCACGCCGCGGUGAAUACGUUCCCGGGCCUU
rnacentral:rRNA from 1 species